rnacentral:rRNA from 1 species
AUUGAACGCUGGCGGCAUGCCUUACACAUGCAAGUCGAACGGCAGCGGGGGAGAAGCUUGCUUUUCCUGCCGGCGAGUGGCGAACGGGUGAGUAAUACAUCGGAACGUGCCCUGUAGUGGGGGAUAACUAGUCGAAAGAUUAGCUAAUACCGCAUACGACCUGAGGGUGAAAGUGGGGGACCGCAAGGCCUCAUGCUAUAGGAGCGGCCGAUGUCUGAUUCGCUAGUUGGUGGGGUAAAGGCCUACCAAGGCGACGAUCAGUAGCUGGUCUGAGCGGACGAUCAGCCACACUGGGACUGAGACACGGCGCAGACUCCUACGGGAGGCAGCCGUGGGGAAUUUUGGACAAUGGGCGAAAGCCUGAUCCAGCAAUGCCGCGUGUGUGAAGAAGGCCUUCGUGUUGUAAAGCACUUUUGUCCGGAAAGAAAUGGCUCUGGUUAAUACCUGGGGUCGAUGACGGUACCGGAAGAAUAAGGACCGGCUAACUACGUGCCAGCCGCCGCCGUAA